rnacentral:rRNA from 1 species
AACGAACGCUGGCGGCAUGCCUAACACAUGCAAGUCGAACGAGACCUUCGGGUCUAGUGGCGCACGGGUGCGUAACGCGUGGGAACCUGCCCUUAGGUUCGGAAUAACUCCCCGAAAGGGGUGCUAAUACCGGAUAAUGUCUUCGGACCAAAGAUUUAUCGGCUUUGGGUGGUGCCGCGUUGGAUUAGCUAGUUGGUAGUUUAAUCGCCUACAAAGGCGCCGAGCCAAAGCUGGUCUGUGAGGAUGAUCAGGCACACUGGGACUGAGACACGGCCCAGACUCCUACGGGAGGCAGCAGGGGGGAAUAUUGGACGAUGGGCGAAAGCCUGAGCCAGCAAUGCCGCGUGAGUGAUGAAGACGUUAGGGUUGUAAAGCUCUUUUAACCGGGAUGAUAAUGACAGUACCGUAAGAAUAAGCGACGGCUAACUCCGUG